rnacentral:rRNA from 1 species
CCUACGGGAGGCUGCAGUGGGGGAUAUUGCACAAUGGGGGGAACCCUGAUGCAGCGACGCCGCGUGGGUGAAGGAGUGCUUCGGCAUGUAAAGCUCUAUCGGCAGGGAAGAAGCAAGACGGUACUGGACUAAGAAGCCCCGGCUAACUACGUGCCAGCAGCCGCGGUAAUACGUAGGGGGCGAGCGUUAUCCGGAUUCACUGGGUGUAAAGGGAGCGUAGACGGGCAUGCAAGCCAGGGGUGAAAGCCCGGGGCCCAACCCCGGGACUGCCUUUGAAACUGUAUGGCUGGAGUGCGGGAGGGGUAGGCGGAAUUCCUGGUGUAGCGGUGAAAUGCGUAGAUAUCAGGAGGAACACCAGCGGCGAAGGCGGCCUGCUGGACCGCAACUGACGUUGAGGCUCGAAAGCGUGGGGAGCAAACAGGAUUAGAUACCCGAGUAGUC